GGCCAGAUGGCCGAGUGGUCUAAGGCGCUAGUUUUAGGUAAUAACACUAGUCUUCGGGCAAGGGUUCGAAUCCCUUUCUGGUCA